rnacentral:rRNA from 1 species
UAGUAACUGCGAGUGAAGCGGGAAAAGCUCAAAUUUAAAAUCUGGUGGUCUUUGGUCAUCCGAGUUGUAAUUUAGAGAAGCGUCUUCCGCGCUGGACCAUGCACAAGUCUCCUGGAAUGGAGCGUCAUAGAGGGUGAGAAUCCCGUCUUUGGCAUGGAUGCACCAGGGCUUCUGUGAUGCGCUCUCAAAGAGUCGAGUUGUUUGGGAAUGCAGCUCAAAAUGGGUGGUGAACUCCAUCUAAAGCUAAAUAUUGGCGAGAGACCGAUAGCGAACAAGUACCGUGAGGGAAAGAUGAAAAGCACUUUGGAAAGAGAGUGAAACAGUACGUGAAAUUGUUGAAAGGGAAACGCUUGAAGUCAGUCGCGUCGACCGAGACUCAGCCUUGCCUUGGCUUGGUGUACUUCUCGGCUGACGGGUCAGUGUCAAUUUUGGGCCUCGGAUAAUGACAAGGGAAAGGUGGCACCUUUAUAGGUGUGUUAUAGUCUCCUGUCGGAUGCGAGGGUCGGGAUUGAGGAACUCAGCACGCGCCUUUUGGUGUCGGGGCUUCGGCCUACGCUACGUGCUUAGGAUGCUGGCAUAAUGGCUUUAAACGACCCGUCUUGAAACACGGACCAAGGAGUCUAACAUGCCCGCGAGUGUUCGGGUGGAA